rnacentral:rRNA from 1 species
GGAAUAUUGCACAAUGGGGGAAACCCUGAUGCAGCGACGCCGCGCGAGUGAAGAAGUAUUUCGGUAUGUAAAGCUCUCUCAGCAGGGAAGAUAAUGACGGUACCUGACGAAGAAGCCCCGGCGAACUACGUGCCAGCAGCCGCGGUAAUACGUAGGGGGCAAGCGUUAUCCGGAUUUACUGGGUGUAAAGGGAGCGUAGGUGGCAGGGCAAGUCAGAUGUGAAAACCCGGGGCUCAACCCCGGGAGUGCAUUUGAAACUGUCCAGCUGGAGUGCAGGAGGGGUAAGCGGAAUUCCUAGUGUAGCGGUGAAAUGCAUAGAUAUUAGGAGGAACACCAGUGGCGAAGGCGGCUUACUGGACUGUAACUGACACUGAGGCUCGAAAGCGUGAGGAGCAAA